rnacentral:rRNA from 1 species
AGGUGACCUGCGGAGGGAUCAUUACACAAAUAUGAAGGCGGGCUGGAACCUCUCGGGGUUACAGCCUUGCUGAAUUAUUCACCCUUGUCUUUUGCGUACUUCUUGUUUCCUUGGUGGGUUCGCCCACCACUAGGACAAACAUAAACCUUUUGUAAUUGCAAUCAGCGUCAGUAACAAAUUAAUAAUUACAACUUUCAACAACGGAUCUCUUGGUUCUGGCAUCGAUGAAGAACGCAGCGAAAUGCGAUAAGUAGUGUGAAUUGCAGAAUUCAGUGAAUCAUCGAAUCUUUGAACGCACAUUGCGCCCUUUGGUAUUCCAAAGGGCAUGCCUGUUCGAGCGUCAUUUGUACCCUCAAGCUUUGCUUGGUGUUGGGCGUCUUGUCUCUAGCUUUGCUGGAGACUCGCCUUAAAGUAAUUGGCAGCCGGCCUACUGGUUUCGGAGCGCAGCACAAGUCGCACUCUCUAUCAGCAAAGGUCUAGCAUCCAUUAAGCCUUUUUUUCAACUUUUGACCUCGGAUCAGGUAGGGAUACCCGCUGAACUUAAGCAUAUCAAUAA